rnacentral:rRNA from 1 species
AACGAACGCUGGCGGCAGGCUUAACACAUGCAAGUCGAACGCCCCGCAAGGGGAGUGGCAGACGGGUGAGUAACGCGUGGGAACGUGCCCUUCGCUUCGGAAUAGCCCCGGGAAACUGGGAGUAAUACCGGAUACGCCGUAUUGGGAAAGAUUUAUCGGCGAAGGAUCGGCCCGCGUGGGAUUAGCUAGUUGGAGGUGUAAUGGACCCCCAAGGCUACGAUACAUAGCUGGUCUGAAAGGAUGAUCAACCACACUGGGACUGAGACACGGGCCAGCAUCCUACGGGAAGCAGCAGUGGGGAAUCUUGUACAAUGGGGGCACGCCUGAUCCAGCCAUGCCGCGUGAGUGAAGAAGGCCUUAGGGUUGUAAAACUCUUUCGCCGGAGAAGAUAAUGACGGUAUCCGAAGAAGAAGCCCCGGCUAACUUCGUGCCAGCCGCCGCCGUAA